UACGGAGGAUGCAAGCGUUAUCCGGAAUGAUUGGGCGUAAAGCGUCCGUAGGUGGCGAUUCAAGUCUGCUGUUAAAGCGCAGGGCUUAACCCUGUAAAGGCGGUGGAAACUGGAGAGCUAGAGUGUGGUAGGGGUAGAGGGAAUUCCCGGUGUAGCGGCGAAAUGCGUAGAGAUCGGGAAGAACACCAGUGGCGAAAGCGCUCUACUGGGCCACAACUGACACUGAUGGACGAAAGCUAGGGGAGCGAAUGGG
rnacentral:rRNA from 1 species